GACGAACGCUGGCGGCGUGCUUAAUACAUGCAAGUCGAGCGGAAAGGCCCUGCUUUUGUGCGUUGCUCGAGUGGCGAACGCGUGUGUAUCACGUGAGUAUCCUCCCCCUGUCUUUCGGAUAACUUCAGGAAACACGGGCGAAUACCGGGUAGGAGCUCCUGCUCCAUGGUGUGCGUUGGUAAGUUUCGGCCGUGGGGGAUGGACUCGCUGCUUACCAGCUUCUAUGUCUGGUAGUGGCUUACCAAGGCUUUGACGGGUAGCCUGCCUGGGAGGGUGACCGGCGACAUGGGGACUGAGAUACGGCCCAGAAUGCUACGGGCGGCAGCGGGGGGGAGUCUGGCGCAAUGAGCGGACGCCUGAGGCAGCAGCGCCGCGUGCGUGAUGACGGCCUUCGAGGUGUAAACAGCUUUCGCAGGUGACAAAGAGGGAGUGACGGUAAUGAGUAAGAAAGCACCGGCUAACUACGUG
rnacentral:rRNA from 1 species